GGGUAUCGUGCUGGCUGCAGUUGGGGGGCCCCUGGUGGUGCUGAUUGUCCUCAUCGUCCUGGUCACAGUCCUGCAGCGGCACCAGCCAGCCUGGCUGCCCCGCCGCUUGCGCUCCUGGGCCUGGCUGCCCCUCUGGCUCCGUUCUCUGGAGCCCUGGGACCGCCUGGUGAGCCGCUGCUGUCCCUGCCAGGUCUGCAGCCCUCCUCAGGCCGUGGCCAAGGAGGCCCACUGCUAUGAGAACCCCGAGGUCCUGGCUUCCCAGCAGUUGUGAGGGGGUUGACCUCUGGGUGCCCUGGGGGAUCCUAGAAGCUGUGGACUUCUGACUCACUCGGGUGGCUUUCUUAGCAAAUAAACCAGACUCUACCCAGGCAUGGGUGGUCUUCUCUCUCCAACCAGGGCUGCCAGGGGGUGGAAGUGGGUUCCGCCGGCCUCCGGAGGGAUCUGGGGGUGUAGCAGCGCCGAUGCUGCCCCCCAGCGGAUACUUGGGGGCCUGCGUUGAGACCGCGAGGGAGCUGGCCGCCCUCGAGGGGCGCCCACGCAGCUGACUCCAGAUGGCCAGGGCUGUAGCUUAUCUCCUCUCGGCCCCUGGGAACAGAAGGCCCUAAGUAGCAGUAGGUCCGGAGCUCGGAGACAUCCUGCAGCAAGAAUCUGGGCUCCUGAGUGGCUGGAGCCCUUCCGCGUGGGGUCAGGAGGGACGGGGGAUUGGCUCUCCGGCGCCACUGCUCCGAGGACCCGCGCGGGCAGCUCCUGAGCCGUCCAGCCCCACUGUGGGCGGUCGGACUGGAGGACGUCAUGUGGCCCUGGCGGGGCCCGAGUCCCGCAGGUGCAUCGGGGCGUAGGGAGGGUUCAGGUAAGAACCGGGCGGCCCCGAGGCGCCCUACUCCUGCUCUCUCAUCCCCGUUCCAACCCCGCUCUCUUUCUGGGUGCAGGGCUGCAGGGCAGGAGGCUGCCGGAGUGGCGCGUGGGAGGGAACAGGCCCACGGGGGCCCGGUGGUGCCCAGCUAGUACGCAGUAUCCUGGGUCCGCCAGCUUCCACCUGGCCCACCGCCAGGGGCGCCACCUCACUCGCCUGGGCAGAGCAGCCCCCAGAUCUGCCCGGCCAAACCCAGCCAGGGACAGGUGUGAGCGGUCAGGAAGGUGAGACCAGGGGACCCCAGGAGCGAUGAUGGCCCCUUGACCACGUUUCACUUCUCCUCAGUCCCCUCCGUGUCCCCCUGCCCCCUCAGGCCCCUCUGUGCCCCCCAGCCCCUCAGGCCCCCUCCAUGGCCCCAGCCCUCUCCGUGUCCCCCAGCCUCUCUCAGCCCUCCCCAGGUCUCCUGAGUCUGGGGUUCACCCUGGCCUUGGGAAGAGUUAGCCACCUGUUCUGAGAGUCACAAGGGGCUUCAUGGGAGCAAGACCCCCGCGAUAGGCUCACACCCCCCUCCUUUUGGCUUCCCCCCAAUUUUGUGACCUCAGGAUACACCAGGGGUUCUGCCAUCAGCCUCCCUCCCAUGGAAGUCCCCUGCGGAGGGGCUGGGCCUGGCUAGUUCCCAUGGGACAUGGUGGGGGGCCCCCCCCAGUGGGAAGGCACUGAGAGGGGAGGUCGGCACUCCCGCGCCUCUCCUUCCGGGGCGGGUGAGGCCGCCCACAAAGGCUCACUGCUGGGUCCUUUGAGGCUGAGGAUCACUGUCUGCCUGCUGCUCCUGCCGGCGGUAACGCACCCUCCCGCUGGGACCAUGGCCACGGGUAAACAGAGCCGUCGUUGUGGAAGCUUCCAACAGCUGCAGGCUGGGGCGGGAGGGGCGGGUGCCCGGCACCCCCGCAGUCCCGGCCCAGGCUUCCCUGGGUCUGGCCUGCUCUGCCCUGCAUCCCACCAGGCCACAGACCCCCACUGGGCCCAGACACCUGGACCCGGGCCCUCUGCCCCACGCAAGGCCAGCUCUCCACGCUGUGGCAGAGGGCGGGGACCUGCAGGGCCUCCCCCCGCCAGCCCUGUGCAGCAGUGGCAACUGUGGUCCUUGGCUCAGAGCCACAGGGAGGCUCUGGCUGUCUUGUUCCCAGCCAGUGUUCACUUCCGAAAGGCAAGGCAGACAAUCUGGUGCCCCGGAGAGAGCUCUGGGGCUCUCUCCCGGGUGAGUGACACAACCUCUCUUGUUUCCUGUAAAGGAGCAGUGCCGCACUGGACUCCCAGGCCCAUGGGCACCAGUCACAGGGAGUGGGCCUGUACCAGUGGGGUCCCAGUCCAGGGGGCGGCUGAGGUGGGACGGUUUUGACAAACACCUCAAAGAGAAACCUCAGCAGGCUUUGCACAGCUCACUUGGAGAAAAAUCGGAGCUUCUCCCUUUCUCACCAAUUUGUGGAUUUGUGACAAUUUAAUGCUACCAGGCCCAAGAACCCCCCUGCUGCAGUGCCAGGGCCUUGCAGACUGCUGUUUGGGCAGCUAAGCAACUUUGCAGGGCACUGUGAGAACCCAGAAUGCCAGGCAGUGACCCUGCACACCCCAUAUGCCACAGCCUGUGGCCAGCAGAAACCAGACCCACCUUCCUGGACGGAGGGGGCUGGUCCCCAGGCCCCGCUGGGACUGACAAGCAGCACCUGGUACAUGCUGACUCACCCUCCAGGUCAGGACUGCAGCCCCGAGGAGCACAGCGGCAGCCCACCCUCAGGGACGGGAAGGCGGCAUCUAUGCCAGCAUGUGGCCUGACCCAACAGUGUCACCCACCACGAAGUGUACGGUGAUGUGUCGCAACCCUGCAGUGUGCCAUGACCCUGGGCAUUACGGAUUACAUGGAGAGGAGGGAAACGGUUCUCUCUAGAUAGAAAUGACCAGGUAUUGUCUUCAACGCCUUCGAGUUGGGGAGCAAAGGAGAGUAAGAACCUUACUGAGAAAAUCAGAACCUAGAGCCCCCCCCCCGCCCCCCCGUUUAGCACGGCAGGGAGACUGCACGGGAGGACCCAAGUAAUUCAUUGUGUUUUAAGAUGUUUCCCAAAUAUAACGCAACUGUACUCUUUCUAGAACGAUUGAUUAAAGGUGUGACCGCAUG
rnacentral:lncRNA from 1 species